rnacentral:lncRNA from 1 species
AGGGAGAAGACAGGAGCUUUGCGCUUAGAGAAGUCCCUUGGCCGGACAGAGCGCAUCUUCUUUUGCUCAUUUUUCAGGGCCUUGCCUUGUUGGCCUACCAAAUAAACAGGCUUUUUUUGAUUGAUUCGCUUACGGGUCAUUAACUAAAGACCUUGAAGUCGUGACCCAUGAGCUAGCUGAGGAAAGCGAUAUCGCGCGUAGACAUCAAGCCGUAGCGCGCGAACCAGCAACCCCUCUUUAUGAUGCUUUCCACUCUUUCGAGAGGAUUCAGUUAUUGAGUCGGUGAGCUGAUCUCGCCUUUUAUCUGGACAUUGUGAGUUCUCCCGAUCAUGACGACGAAGCGAGUGAAGGGUAGCACUGAACUGGCAAAGAGAAUGAAUGAGAUUAUGGGGCUCCGGUUCCAUCGAUUUUGACUUCAUUUUACUUAAUAGAAAGAGGUUGCAAAAAAGGAAGAGAAUGGAUCCACUCAAAAAACUUUGUUCGGAAUCUAACUCAGAGAGGCAGUGUUGAGUCCAUGCAGACUCUAAAUUCGUCUAGCGCUUCAAACCAUAUUGGAUUACUAGAUAAAGAGCGAGUGAUCACCCAUGAGGAAAUGGGCAUUGUCUAAAUCCCUGUUUUAAGAAGUUGAAAGAACGUUUUCGCCGUAUCCUUUACAAGCUUUUACACGAAGCAAUGAAUGAGUUGCUCGACGGCAUUCAUCUGUCUUUUCAGUAAAGCGAGUCUUUCAAGUAAGCCCGCCUAACAUGAAAGUCAAGCCUUUCACUUCAUUGUUCAAGUCCUGCCUUCAGAGAAAAGGGUACAGGUCGGUUUGUUGUUUCGAAAGAUUCUCGCACACGAUUCAGUCUGCCUCUGUCAAAUAAAUAAAGUGGAUGGAGAGCCUUCUUAUCCUUUUAGGUCCGACCUCUCUCUUCCACUUUCCACCCCCCUAAGCUUUACUAAAAGGAGGGUCAUCAACACCGUCAGAACCUCGCAUUUGCGGCUAAGUGUCCCUCCGCGGUAAGGAAUUGAUUUUCUUUCUUUCCCUGCAGUGCUAUAGUGCGCUUGGACUCUAUCUCCGCUGUCUGGCUUUCAUGAAGAAAGAUUGAAAGCGUCCUCUUCGAGCGACUGCGUACCUCAUGUCAAAGAUGUUCGUGUACUUUAGAAUUCGAAAUAGGACUGUUAGCGCUGGUCUCUAGCCACCUAGAACUACCAGAGACUCGAUCCACCUCAGGAACAUUCAAAAGACUAAAGCCACCUGAAACUCACUGAUUGUCUCAUGCCACCUCGGAAGAGAAGACAUAUUCUCAGACAGAAAAGAAAGGACUUACCACUUGGCCACACUCAGAAGCCGGAGUCUGAGCUAGUAGCUAGCCUCAGGUAUAGAACUGGAGUUCUCUAUCAGGGAAUUCCAGGAGUGAAAUAGUAUGGUUUGAUAGAACCAGGUAGUAGUUGGUCGGAAAGGAAGAGAAAGAUACUCCAACGGACUCGGGCAAUCCCUUUACGAAUCAAAGGGAUUGGGCUGAUUGACCCCAGGUUCCGGGACGAUAAUCAGGUAAACAGUUGAAGUACCAAAGAGCGGUCCCAAGGGACGGAAUCAAGGAAGCAAACUAAGAGCCAAAGCUCUUAGCCUCCUAAUAUGAGGAUUCGUCUCACUAAAUGAGUUGAACUGAGUUCAACGAAUCCUCAGAUUCCUUAUAUGUUCAACUCAUUUCGAGUGACAAAUGUUCCUCAGAUUCCUCAUCUCUUGGGCUUUCUCCGGUUGACGUUGAAGCCAAAGAAACGGGGGGGAAGGGCACAAAACGUAGUUACCACACCCAUUCCCAUUCCAUUAUUGAUUCGAAUAGCUAAGCGAAGGCUUAAUUGAAUGGACGAGUAAGGGAAUACGAGCUCCUUCAUCUCCUUAUAUACGUCGCCAUGUUCGUUGACGGCCGAAUAAGAAGGGGGCCAAACAGCCACUUGACGGAAGUUUUAGGGGUGAGAGCAGACCCCGAAUAGGGUGAAGGGGAUGCCUCAUUGGCAGCCGAGAGCAGCCUAUUCUGUCUGUAGCAGCUUCUUCUUUCAAAGGCAAAGGCCUUUAUAGACUCGUACAAAGAAGAAAAUAAGUUCCAUGACAUGGCACUUGCGAGGGAGUUUAGUUCAUAACCUCGUAGGCCGGGAAUGCCAUCAAGAACCCUUUUCCUCUCGGUCUCAGUGUCAGCCAAGUUAGCAUCGGCUCCAUCAUUUGAAGCUUAUGACAUUGAUGAGUGAUCCAACAGUCUUGAGUGGCAGUUCUCCAAGGAGAAGGGAUCCCAGGUAGGAGAGCCAGCCGGGCCAGGGGAAAGAGGUAGUCAAAGACUACCCGGGAGUAGGUUCUGGAAUUUAUUCAGAGUUGCCACUCCUCAAUCUUCGAAAUUCCAGCGAUAGAGGACUUGAUACUUAUCUUCGACAAGCCUUGAUCUGUGCUGAAGACAGAUUCUCUUAUCGGCUGAGGAAAUAGGUAGCCACCCAUUCUUCCUUUCCGACCUUAGCUUAGCUGCUCACGCCAAUGCUCAUGGGUAUGGGGCAAUAACUGCUGCUACUGUUAUACUCCCACACUAUAAGAGACGGCUCAUCUUCUAUCUAAGACCUCCUCAAUGAGAGGAUGCCUGAAUGCUACUUUCGUCUACGUAUGGCUUAUAUUAUAUAAGCAAUCCUCCUUCUAUGGUCUUAGGCCCAGUUUCUUUCAACUAAGAUUUAUACUAAGCUUCCUCCCCCUGAAGCCUGAGUCAAAGAAUCCGUCGAUUCCAAUUCCACUAUAGGAAGUGCUGUUAUGAUCGAUUUUCCUUCUCCUCUUCAUUAAUAGCCUGGGAACUUAGAUUCUGAAUUAGAGUAUGGCAGGUCCGUCUUUGACCUUUGACCUUUGACCGGUUCGGGUUCGGGACUCGUUCUAUGACCGUACUCCUAUGUUUUGGGAGUCUGAGAAAGCUCUUCGUCCGCAUUCGCCAAGCCUAACAAGCCUUGGAAGUCGGCUAAGGCGCAAUGCUCCCUAUUUUCCGUGCUAGCUUUUGGGUCUGCUAGCGCUUCGAUGCUUUCGAUUCUUCUUUCCUAGGCUAUUUCGUACGUGUAAGCUUUCGAAGUCGUAUAUCGAAUGAGUGGAUAUUCCCACAUCCUCCCUUCAUGCUAAGACCACUUUGUGUACUGCGUCUUCUAUCGCUAUCUACGGUGAUUCUCCCGUCUAACCGGAGUGAGGACUCAGCAUGAAUAGCCGGACGCGAGAGAAAGACAAAAACAAGGCUUCUCGCGGCCCUAUCGAAUCCGUUCCCGAGUGAAGGUCACUUCACAAGUUGCCUUCUCUGGUCUUGCGGCGCACUCACUCCCUUUCCUUCCGCUCACUUCUGGACCCUUCGCUCCCGGUUAGUGCUCUUUGGCCCGGUCUAUUCUGUCUGAUAUGAUAUCAUAUAGCCAGGAAAAAGGGAUCUACUAGUCAUCGCCUUUGAGCUGGUAUUACCUGGAGUCGGCUAUUCCUGAUUCAGCAAAGGAAAGAAACCUUGAUCCCAAGACUAGCACUGACUCUAUUAUGAGACCUCCCUCUGUCGCAAUAGAAAUCGAGAAUGGAGGUGACUUCGCUACACUUGUUUAUAGUUGGAAAUUCCAACUCGAAGGCCCUAGUACUACUGACUUUGCACCAGAAACAAUUGAAGCCUUUUUUCGGCAUCCCUUCUCAGACGUCUUAUUCCUUGCCUUAGUAAUGUGCAAUCAGCUACUUGGCACCUUCCCUUAUUCUCCCUCCUUUCCCUUCCUUGCAAAGGUCUUAUAAGGCGAUGACCCUACUUACACGAUAUGAGAAUGGUUCGACACUUUCAACCCCAUAACCCACUUCCAAGACUUUAGGACUAACUGGAUUUCUUUCGACUUAGUUCUCUGUUCGUCUCGGGUACUCGCUCUGCUAAUUGGUAUGAUAACCAGUAAAGGGAAGGUACAUAGUCAUCUUUUCCAGAGCACCCUAAACCGUAACAGCAAGACCAACGGAUAUGACCAAAAAUUCCUUGUCACGAGCUUGGCUUUGGGGACAGUUUCACCGACCUAAGAACCAUUUCCUUUAGCAGCGGCGGAGGAUAUUAUAUAAAAGCAAAGAAGAGAGCGAAGCUCCUCUCCAACCAGUCAAGUGGCCCAAGGGCCACCUUUCCUGGAUUAGAAAGAAAGCUACUAACAGUACCGUGCAAUAUCUGGCCUAGUGCAAACCAUGGCAUACAUCAAACUACCAACUGCAUAAGAAUAAGGAACAAGAGACAUUUCCUUCUUCUCUUCAUCAGUUGAUGGACUUGACUUUUUCUUUAGCCUCUCGGCUUCGAGAAGCCGUGGGCCCAGUAGUGCUUUCUUAAAGCCUGUAACCCGCUCGACGUAAGAACCGAUCUCAAGCUGGAUGAGAAGGGAAAUAAAGACUAGUGAGAAUAGCCGUAAUUCAACUAGGCCUUGAAUCAGUGGUUUACAGAGACAAUUAGUCAUCUGCUUACGGCUAAUCUGCUCUUCGAAUCGUCAUCUUAGAAUAGGUUGGAACUAUUUCAAGAUGAUAGGCUUAUUCUGAAAGUACGCAUUUCUUGCUCUAAGUCCGCUGGGUUGGAUCGAACUAGUAGGUUUGGCAGGAAGAUAAUGGCAUAAAAGAAGCAUUCCACUUUUGGAAAGAGAAGAGUCAGUCUGAUUAUAGAUCCCUCUGUCUUGCAUUGGGUUAACUGGAGCUUAGAUAAAGCGAUAGGCAGAAGAGAGAGAAUUAGUCCGUCUUUAUAGACUGACUUUCCUCGCAUCAAAGCUUUCCGGUUCUCUUCCUUUAUGAAGAAAGGAAAGGCUUGUUAUCGACGAAGAAGAUCUUUAUACUGUUCAUCCUAAGAAAAGAAGUUUUCACUCGGUACAACUAUUCUAUGCUAGCAUAGCAUGCUUCUACUUAUGUUGUGUUGCAAAUUCCGGAUCAGGAACAAUCCUUUCUUAUUCGUUGAUGCCAGUCUAAAAAUCCGUACUUGUUGACUAAAUUUCGGCUUUCUAGCUUGAAGCUUAAGGGCUAAGGGAAAUUCAUCCUUGGAUCAAUGAAAUAGUUGAAUUAGCGUUGAUGCAAGAAGCAACCUCUUAUUGAAAUGACUUUAGGAAGUGCCUAACCUUUCUCCUUCGAUCCGAUCCUUUCUGUGACCCGAAAUGAACUUAUUGUCUCUUCGUCUCUUGCCUUUGAAUCGGAUAUUCCGAUGAAAGCGGAUUCUCUUUCCGUCCCUCGUCAUCGAGAGGAAGAAUCGCUAUCUAUCUAUCCAUAUACGUAUCAACAAAUGUGGUUCCAGGGAUCGGUCGAUUGCCCCUCACCAGCAGCUAGAGGAGGAGAAAGGAAUGAUGUCCCGGCCUGGGCUGGGCACCUAUCAGCCAACUAUUCCUUUUUGGAAUGGAAAGAAGAAAGGAUGGUCGUAGAUCACUGAUGUCGAAUUCACGAAAAAGAUCAUAUGUGAAAGAAUCGUCAGAUUAUGGGUUCCCGGAGUAGACGGAAUGGAGAAUGAAUGAAAUAGAAUAGUCUGGCAGAAUCGUAUGAUAGGGAAAGUGCGGAGCCUCCCACUUGUCUGGGUUACCGGGCUGGCUAACCUAACUAUGAAUUUCUAUCAAUGUCGGGAUAGACAGAGGUCUAGGAUAGUACGCUGUCGGAGUGAGACCGGGGUACAGUAACGAAGUUAGACCGAAAUGAACGACUCAAUUCCUCUAGAAGAAAGGAGAGAGAAAGAACAACCAAUUCUAUGAAACAAUAUCGUCAUUUACUAGAAUCGGUUGCUACUAGUCCGGGUUACCUCAGAGAUAGAGCCAUUAGGCGAGAAAAAACAACCUAGUUAGUGCACUAACUCAAACCUAGUUCUUGCACGAAAUGUCCUGCUAACAUAGGAGCACUCCUACUAAGAAAUGGAAGAGCAAAUUUCUUUCUGUUCGACGACACAAUGCCUCACCUGCCCUCUGCUACACAUCUCUUUCGUUCGCCCUAGACCCACCCACCAAAUGGAACUCUGCCCUUUUUGUUGGGUUAGAGCGAGUAUGAAGUCAGGGAGGAAGAAGAGGGAAGAAAUAAUAUAGUAAUAUUAACCUUUCCUUCGCUCUAUUCCCAAGUCCUGGGCUAAGCUGAGCUUCGAAGUCGGGCUUUCUUCCUAAUCUCAUCUACUGAAAAGGGGGCCGGGCGUAGCACGUUCUUUUUUGGGACACAUAGGCUAUUACAGACGCAUCAAAAAAGACUUUUCGAAGCGCGGAAUCCCAGAAUGGAAUCAUUGCAGAAGAAAGGUAUAAGGCUUGGGAACCGGAACAGGAUUAAGCCUUUAAGCAUGCAGAUGAGUGUUUGCUGUCAGCCCCAAUCCUUCGGUUUCCGGAUUGGAAUAAGGAGUUCCAUGUUCAUACUGACGCAUCACUCUAUGCCAUUGGAUGUAUGUUGGCGCAAGAAGGGCCGCUUGAUCACUCCAUCUACUUUGAAAGUAUACGACUUUCCGCUUGGGAAUUAUAAAACCACCGAACCUUCUUUAUCAUGAUUCGACCCAUACCUCAGACCUAAGAUCGAGCACCAGAGCUGCUCAUAACAACGUACCAAAAAGAAGAAUGCGAGAAGUUCAUAUUCUCCAGAUUCUACUAUAAACCAGGUAGUGAGGAUGAAAAAAAGCAUAAGCUACCUCGUUCGUGCUCCCGUCUUUCCCGCUGCCAUCUUCGGUGGAGUAACCAAGUUUUUCUUUCUCACUCCUUAUGUACUUUUUUUUACUUCAUCCAUACUUUUUGACUUUUUCUGAAGUGUGGGGCAAACGGCGCCCUCUACUUCUACUUCUAACUAAAGGCGAACAGCCGGCAUUGCAAGCAAAUAGAAAGCCCCCGCCCGUUUGAGCCGGAAAGCGUACCGGCUGUUUGAGUCGCAUCGCAAAAGGGCUGCUUUCUUAAUAUUAUUCUUAAUAUUAUUUAUAUAAUAAUAAUAAAUAAUCUAUAAACAAAAAGAAAAAGGGGAAAUCUUUUUUCUUCAAAAAUUCUUCAUUCCUGGGAAGAAGAAGAAGCAGAUAGGACAAAGGCCUUCUCUUUCCAUUCGCUCUACUCGAAGUGAGCGAAUUGCAUGUAGAGAUCCGUAGGGGCUUAUACUUUAAUUGGUUGAAACGUACCACUCAUAACGGUGAUAUUGUAGGUUCGAGCCCUACUAAGCCUAUCACCCCCUUCUUUUCACCUGAUACAAGGCAGUUAAAUACCCACCACCCUGCAGAUCUGAAUGAUGCGAUGGGAACCACACUGCUGCCAAUGCCCUUUGGGCAUGCCUCCUAUGAAUAUCACUCACCUACGCUCUUGGCGUAUGCCACCUUUGGGCAAUAUGGUGUAAUACGCAAAGCAGUUGAGCCAUAGCUCUUCGAUUGCUAUAUUCUUGCAAUAGAGAAGGUGUGGUUUAUCCUUUAAGAGAGAGUAAAUGUGAAGGUUCGGAUUGAAUAUCUUUACAAUACAUCCUUGGGGCACCAUAGUAUGUCGGGAAUAAGGGGGUCAUAGUGAACGUAACCACUCCCUUGGUUGGGGGCUAUGAAUCCCCUAUCCUUUUAAUUUUUUGAUUCCCAGGUCUUUUUUAUUAUAACUGUUGGAAUAUUUUUGUUGACGACUUAGUCAGGGUGGUUCACUAUUUCUUUGUUGAAGGCGUUGUUAAGCCCUAACGUUUGAAUUCCAAUUUCAUUGCCCUGACAAAACUUUAUGAUCCCCACUUCCAGAAAAAAACUGAAAAGAUGGGGCGGUCGGGGACUUGAAUGAAUGUUAUUAGUCGUGAAUUUGAACUUUUUGGUAUUCUUUUGAUAUAUUUGCAAGAACAUUCUAUGGUUUUAAUAAGAGGAGGUAGAGUGAAAGAUUUUUUGGCUAAAUAAUAAUUUGGUUAUGCCCAGCCCACUAAUGGGGGGCGGUGGCUAAUCCGUACACGCAGUGGGAGGUGACAGCCAGAAAUGAGAUUUGGGGAACAAAGUCAAUUGAUGCGCUCUUAAAGGGAGAAGACAGGAGCUUUGCGCUUAGAGAAGUCCCUUGGCCGGACAGAGCGCAUCUUCUUUUGCUCAUUUUUCAGGGCCUUGCCAUGUUGGCCUACCAAAUAAACAGGAUUUUUUUGAUUGAUGAGCUUAUGGGUCAUUAACUAAAGACCUUAAAGUCGUGACCCAUGAGAUAGCUGAGGAAAGCGAUAUCGCGCGUAGACAUCAAGCCGUAGCGCGUGAACCAGCAACCCCUCUUUAUGAUGCUUUCCACUUUUUUAAGAGGAUUCAGUUAUUGAGUCGGUGAGCUAAUCUCACCUUUUCUCUAGACAUUGUGAGUUAUUUCGAUCAUGACAAUGAAGCAAGUAAAGUGUAGCACUGAACUAGCAAAAAGAAUUAAUGAGAUUAUGGGGCUUCGGUUCCAUCAAUUUUGACUUUAUUUUACUUAAUAGAAAGAGGUUGCAAAAAAGGAAGAGAAUGGAUCCACUGAAAAAACUUUGUUUGGAAUCUAACUCAGAGAGGCAG